rnacentral:lncRNA from 1 species
AAAACCCUAGCCACACGCUUGCUCGUUGGAAAAGAAGAAGAAGGGCAACUGAAGGAGAAGACAGCCACCGGUGCCGCCGCACUGGAAACCAAAAUCAACACUGGUAAGUGCAAUUUUCUCCCGUUUGUUCUAGUUUUCUAUUUUAAUCCACCCAAAAUAUUUUCUGAUGUAGAAAAAUUGGAGGAAAAGCCAUAAACAGAGGGUGGAGCUUGGUUGAGCCGUCAUACCCAAAAUUGAAAAACGCUUCGGUGAACCCAAAAUUCUCUCCUGUUUCUUCUGUCUCUCGACCCUAAGCUAUCUAACGUGUCUUUCAGUGUAAGGUAGCCGAAGAAAAACUGCAACUAUGAGGAAGAAACGGCGGAGCUCGGCGAAGCCACCACACUGGAAAGCUAAAACCACUGGUAAGCUUUAAUUUUUUUCCCUUUUUUCGCCGAUAGACACCCCCUAAUCAUGAUUUUAAAAAGUUUGUAUUAGGAAUUGGGCAAAAUGAUAUGACUGAGAGUAAGAGUCGCUGUAGAAGGAGGAAUCGGUGGCAGAGCACGGCGGUGACGUUGCACCAGAAUGUAUUUUCAUGUAAUUUUGACGUAAAUUUUAUUUUCCCAGAAAAAUCUAAGAAAUUCAAAAACUGGAAACCGUCGGAAAGUGUAGUAAAAAAGUUAGUGUUUCGAACAUCGAUCUAGGGUAAGAAUCUCUCACCCAUU